CGCGUAGGCGGUCUCAUAAGUCCCGUGUGAAAGCCCCCGGCCUCAACUGGGGAAUGGCACGGGAAACUGCGAGGCUUGAGUUCGGGAGAGGGAAGCGGAAUUCCGGGUGUAGCGGUGAAAUGCGUAGAUAUCCGGAGGAACACCGGUGGCGAAGGCGGCUUCCUGGACCGACACUGACGCUGAGGCGCGAAAGCUAGGGGAGCAAACG
rnacentral:rRNA from 1 species